GACGAACGCUGGCGGCGUGCUUAACACAUGCAAGUCGAACGGAAAGGCCUGCUUUCCCUUGUGGAUUGCGGGUACUCGAGUGGCGAACGGGUGAGUAACACGUGAGUGAUCUGCCCCCAACUUGGGUAUAAGCCUGGGAAACUGGGUCUAAUUCCCGAUAGGACUGCAGGGUGGUGCCUGUGGUGGAAAACGAUUUUCUAGUGGUUGGGGAUGAGCGCGCGGCCUAUCAGCUUGUUGGUGGGGUAAUGGCCUACCAAGGCGGCGACGGGUAGCCGGCCUGAGAGGGUGGACGGCCACAUUGGGACUGAGAUACGGCCCAGACUCCUACGGGAGGCAGCAGUGGGGAAUAUUGCACAAUGGGCGGAAGCCUGAUGCAGCGACGCCGCGUGGGGGAUGACGGCUUUCGGGUUGUAAACUCCUUUCGACCGCGAGGAAGCCACCUGGUUGGAAGGGUGGUGACGGUAGUGGUAGAAGAAGCACCGGCUAACUACGUG
rnacentral:rRNA from 1 species